AGAGUUUGAUCCUGGCUCAGGAUGAACGCUAGCUACAGGCUUAACACAUGCAAGUCGAGGGGCAGCAUGGUCUUAGCUUGCUAAGGCCGAUGGCGACCGGCGCACGGGUGAGUAACACGUAUCCAACCUGCCGUCUACUCUUGGACAGCCUUCUGAAAGGAAGAUUAAUACAAGAUGGCAUCAUGAGUCCGCAUGUUCACAUGAUUAAAGGUAUUCCGGUAGACGAUGGGGAUGCGUUCCAUUAGAUAGUAGGCGGGGUAACGGCCCACCUAGUCUUCGAUGGAUAGGGGUUCUGAGAGGAAGGUCCCCCACAUUGGAACUGAGACACGGUCCAAACUCCUACGGGAGGCAGCAGUGAGGAAUAUUGGUCAAUGGACGAGAGUCUGAACCAGCCAAGUAGCGUGAAGGAUGACUGCCCUAUGGGUUGUAAACUUCUUUUAUAAAGGAAUAAAGUCGGGUAUGGAUACCCGUUUGCAUGUACUUUAUGAAUAAGGAUCGGCUAACUCCGUGCCAGCAGCCGCGGUAAUACGGAGGAUCCGAGCGUUAUCCGGAUUUAUUGGGUUUAAAGGGAGCGUAGAUGGAUGUUUAAGUCAGUUGUGAAAGUUUGCGGCUCAACCGUAAAAUUGCAGUUGAUACUGGAUAUCUUGAGUGCAGUUGAGGCAGGCGGAAUUCGUGGUGUAGCGGUGAAAUGCUUAGAUAUCACGAAGAACUCCGAUUGCGAAGGCAGCCUGCUAAGCUGCAACUGACAUUGAGGCUCGAAAGUGUGGGUAUCAAACAGGAUUAGAUACCCUGGUAGUCCACACGGUAAACGAUGAAUACUCGCUGUUUGCGAUAUACUGCAAGCGGCCAAGCGAAAGCGUUAAGUAUUCCACCUGGGGAGUACGCCGGCAACGGUGAAACUCAAAGGAAU
rnacentral:rRNA from 1 species